rnacentral:rRNA from 1 species
AGAGAGAGACAUGCGUGCAUAUCAAUAAGCGGAGGAAAAGAAACUAACAUAGGAUUCCCUCAGUAACGGCGAGUGAAGCGGGAAGAGCUCAAAUUUGAAAUCUUCAAGGGUUCUACCUUUACGAAUUGUAGUUUAAAGAAGUGUUUUCUGUUGAGGUUUUGGUAAAAGUUCUUUGGAAUAGGACAUCAUAGAGGGUGAGAAUCCCGUAUUUGACCAUUAUUUCCAGCUUUGUGAUACACUUUCAAAGAGUCGGAUUGUUUGGGAAUGCAGUCCAAAAUGGGUGGUAAAUUUCAUCUAAAGCUAAAUAUUGGCGAGAGACCGAUAGCGAACAAGUACCGUGAGGGAAAGAUGAAAAGAACUUUGAAAAGAGAGUUAAACAGUACGUGAAAUUGUCAAAAGGGAAGCGUUUGACACCAGUGUUGUUUUCUCGAAAAUCAAUUAAAAAAGGCAGGAUUUUGUGUUGUAUUGACUUUAUCAGCUUUCUGCACUCUUUUCUUGUCUUUUUUAAUGCACUUUUCGUUUAACAAGUCAACAUCAAUUUCUUUUGUUGUAAAAGGGUCAUUGGAAGGUGGCUUUCUUUUCGGAGAAAGUGUUUAUAGCCUUUGGCCUCUGCAAUCGGAGAGAUUGAGGUCUGCAGCGUAGAUCCUUCGGGGUUAGAUACAUUUGUGCUAAGUUAUAGCCUUUCAUAGACAACUUGUUGACUAUGAUCAGUCAUGUAGCUUACUCGCUUAUGCUAUUUUACCUACGCUUAGGAUGUUGAUGUGAUACUGCGAGCA